UACAGAGGUCUCAAGCGUUGUUCGGAUUCAUUGGGCGUAAAGGGUGUGUAGGUGGCGCCGUAAGUCGGGUGUGAAAUUUCGGAGCUUAACUCCGAAACUGCAUUCGAUACUGGCGUGCUUGAGGACUGGAGAGGAGACUGGAAUUCAUGGUGUAGCAGUGAAAUGCGUAGAGAUCAUGAGGAAGACCAGUGGCGAAGGCGGGUCUCUGGACAGUUCCUGACACUGAGACACGAAGGCCAGGGGAGCAAACGGG
rnacentral:rRNA from 1 species